AUGGAAUGACAUGGUUUCAUGCACCAUUAUAAUGGGCACACAAAUGGAGAGAGAGAGUGGAGGCAGAUGGAAUUAUGGUGAGAGCAGAGGAGCCGUGACUAUAGGGUACAUGGAGCUCAUCCAUAUGCCUAUUCAUUUACCUGGGAGACAGUAAGAGGUUAUUUUCCCUAUCCGCUUGAAGUGGCGCGAUAUAUAAGGAAGUUGUGAUAUAUAAGGAAGUUAUCUGUUCACACUUCCACACCGUUCACCUCUGACAUUUGUCGAGAGCAGACAGGUAGCACCGACAUGGUCCUCAUGCAUUAUUGAAAACAUCGCAGUGAAGAAGAGGCCAUUCUGUGGUGGGAGAGAGUCAUUGGCAAUCACAUGUACCUACAGGGGAAGGAUGACCAGCCAUGCAGGAGGGUGAUUUUCACAAAGGAGGAGAAGGAGGCCGUAAUGACCGAGAUGCAUGCUGACCAUUUCGGAGUGCAGUGCAUGAUUGCCAAAAUCAACCUACGCUUCUUCUGGUGUGGAAUUGUCAAGGAUGUGGACAGUUGGGCAAGUGAAAUAACCUUUUGUUUAUCGAUCACAUUCUAUUAUAUGUGAAAUUAUUAUUUCUAUGAAUGCCACAUCAGAGAGCACACAAUGUUUCAAUUUGUCACUUUGAGCUUAAAGGUCAGUACCUGUCUAGCCUGCCAGAAGUUUGAAAGGGUGAAGACUGUGGUGACGGAGUUGAAGCCCAUCAAAGUUAUUUCACCAUGGCACAUGAUCGUUACUGCCCAGAUCUUCCAGUCUGGACGACGGGUCCGGAACGGCGACCCCAAAUCCGGACACCCACAGCCUAUCCUUGUGGCGGCAUGCCCGCUGUCAGAGAGACUACCAAGGUAAGCCACCAGAGGGGGGGACCGCAACGGCGAUCACCAACCAGG
rnacentral:lncRNA from 1 species